ACACUACCAGGUGAGCAUUUUACACCACCAGGUGUAAGCUGUUCUACCAGAAGGACGGAACCUACAAGGACAAGGGGGUCGGCAACCUGCACCUGAAGAAGACUGGAGACAGCAAGACACAGCUGGUGGUCAGGGCAGACACAAGUCUAGGGAACAUCCUGCUGAACAUCCUGCUG